rnacentral:rRNA from 1 species
UACAGAGGGUGCGAGCGUUAAUCGGAAUUACUGGGCGUAAAGCGUGCGUAGACGGUAGCGUAAGUCAGAUGUGAAAGCCCCGGGCUCAACCUGGGAAUGGCAUUUGAGACUGCUCUGCUCGGGUGCGGAAGAGGGAAGCGGAAUUUCCGGUGUAGCGGUGAAAUGCGUAGAUAUCGGAAGGAACACCAGUGGCGAAAGCGGCUUCCUGGUCCGACACCGACGUUCAGGCACGAAAGCGUGGGGAGCGAACAGG